GACUCUUGGGCGGCUUGGGAGAGCCGGCGCCCUUGUGGGGCGGCCGGCCGGGCCGAUCAGGAGACGGUGUUCCGCGCUGUGCGGUCG
rnacentral:tRNA from 2 species